rnacentral:tRNA from 1 species
AGGAGUUUAGGUUAAUCAGACCAGAAGCCUUCAAAGCUUCAAGUAAGUUCUCACUACUUAACCCCUG